rnacentral:rRNA from 1 species
AAAUAUUGAUAGAAUCUUACAUACUUCUAUCCGCCUGGGAACUACGAGCAUUAGCUUAAAACCCAAAGGACUUGGCGGUUCUUUAGAUCCCCCUAGAGGAGCCUGUCCUGUAACCGAUAUUCCCCGUUUAACCUUACCCUCUCUUGUUAAUCCCGCCUAUAUACCGCCGUCGUAAGCUUACCCUGUGAAGGACAAAUAGCGAGCUAAAUUGGCAUAGCCCAGAACGUCAGGUCGAGGUGUAGCGUAUGGGAGGGGAAGAGAUGGGCUACAUUCCCUAAUUUAGUGAAUACGAAUGAUGUAAUGAAAAAGUACAUACUGAAGGAGGAUUUAGCAGUAAGUGAAAAAUAGAGUGUUUC